UUAUUCAAGUCGUUUUAUUGUUAAUUACUUCUACUUUUACUCGAGUACAAAUUCAAAGUAAUUUAGGCACCACUGGGUAUAGUGGACAUACUGCGUUUACUUUUGUAAAGCAAAGAUGCUUUUUUCGCCUCAGAAGAAAGACCAUUCCACUAUACUUAAAACUUCGUUUAAGAUAGUUUGUUUUAGGUUUUUGAAGUGCUAGAUCAGUAUCAUUACUUCGAAGAUUAUAUUCUCUAUUAAGAUCUUUAACUUUUUAUAAAUUUUUCUCUAAGACUUGGAGUGGACUGUUCAUUAAGAAUUUUGUACAUCAAAACGCUUUUCACCCAAUGACGUCUUACAUCAUAUGCCCACCGACUAAUAAUCAUACACCUACUAUAUAAAGGCCGGCCAUCAAAGUUACUGUGAUCAAAGUGGCGUCAUCCCGCCCAAGCAAACCUGUGACUUAACUACUUUUAAAUUUAA